UUUGUCGGAAGUUUAUGAUGAAGAUUCUCUGUGAGGAGAUGAGUUGAGAUGAGGAUGAGAGUUAUUUCUUCUCUUUGAAGAAAUUGAUCGACGCUUCAAGACAAUGACUCCACUAGCGCCGGUGAACCUCUAGGAAGAGCUUUUGUUGUGUUUGGUUUACUCGCCGGCGUUGAGGAAGUUCAAUUCUUCGUUAACUCUGUCCAUGUUUUCUCUUUUAAAAACAUGAAAACAUCAAAUUCAAGGAGUUCAUACAACAGUUUAGACACCAUGGAAGGUUCUUCCUCGGCUAGAAUAAUGUGACGCAGUUUUCUCUCUGCCGUUCAACUUCUGAUGAAGUCCAUCAUGCCAUCUUUAAAGCCUCCAAGUUGCUUUAUGGUGAUGAUGAACUGCUUAUUACAUAUAUGCCAAAGGAAGAGGUUGAAAGCUUAUUUAAUGCUUAUGAAGAUUCUGACUUUACAAGGACUCGCAGUAGAAACGGUUGAACUGAAGGGAGGUCUUCUAGAACGGUUCACACAUGAGAUGGAACCGUUUCUAAGGAAGCAAGGAAUAAACUGAUGUUGAUCAUGUUACAGUCAGAUGUAUCCCAGCCAAAAUUGGAAACAUAGGUCUGAGAUGAAUUAUGAAACAUGAUAAGCAGAAAAAUUGGAAACUGAGACAAUUCCUGAUAAGGCAUGCAAUGGCACCUCGAUAUUAGACAGUUUGGAAGAAUCGAAGAUGGGUUUGGAUGUGAGAAUGUGUAAUGGUAAUGGGCUUCAAGGGGUUUCAGUUGGGUUGGCAAGUAGUAUGAUUUAUGCUCCUACACUCAAGAAGGAUUAUGUUAGGAGGAGUAAGUAUGAGAAACAAUGGGAAGUCAAGGAAUUUCAAAUCUUUUACAUAUUUGUUUAUGUUGUUGUACUUUUUUAAAAGUUUGCACCGUCUCAGGCAUUUUAAAGUGAAAGAAUUAUAAAUCCUGCUACAGCAUCCUUAAUUCCUUAUCCUUUCCCUAACUAAGCAUCAUAACUAUUAAGAAAUAAGCAAAAUAUGGUUUCAUAGCAUCUGCAUAUAUAUUAACGAAAUUAACAUGAUACUCAAAAUUAAAACUUUACGAGAACUAAAUACACAAAACAUGCUUAAUACUUUAUAGUUAUGCAGAAAACUUUUGCUUAAAAUAUGCAGAAAAAGGUUUAUGUGCCGUAUUCUACUUACUCUAAUUGUAAAUUUAAAAAUCUUUGUGCCUUUUUGGUAUAGUUAAACUAAAACAAACACUGAGAGAAAAUAAAUAAUUAUAAUUUUAAAGUUUUAUUAUAACUAGACAAGUUUAUAAUUUAUAAAAUGAAGAAUAAAAUACACCUUAAUUCUAUUUUAAAUUAAAACUAAAAUAAAAUUUAAAACAACUAUAAACCUUAAUUCUAUUUUAAAUUAACACUAAAAUAAGAUUUAAAAUAAAUUUGUACUAUUAAUUUUAUUAGACGGUUUACCCUAGUAAGUAACAAAAUAUGCAAAACUUGUUUGACUUAAAUAUAUAAAAACUUAAAUUCGCCAUAUAUAAUUUUUUUUUGUAACACGUUUGACUUAAAUAUGUAAAAACUUAAAUUCGCCAUACAAUAAGGUGAUGACUGUUUUGCUAGUUUUUAGAUUUUGGUUUUUGGUUUUUAGAUUUUGGUUUUUGAUUUUUAGAUUUUAGAUUUUAAAUUUUAGUUUUUGAUUUUGCAGUAGAUUCUAGAUUUUUGAAAAGCAUGAAUGGUUGUUUUAGAUUUUGGUUUUUAGUUUUUGGUUUUUAAUUUUUGGUUUUUAAUUUUUGGUUUUUGUUUUUAAAAAUUAAGAAAAUGAAAAAUAUGAUUAAUAGUAAAAACAUUUUUAUGAAAAAUAUAGAAAAUAAUAUUAUCAAAGCACAUAUGAACUUAUUUUAAAAAUAAAUAAAUUAUUUUGUUGAUUCUUAAUAAUUUCAAUUCAUAGUUUUAGAAAUUAAAAAUUUAAUGAUAAAUAAAUUAUUUUGUUGAUUCUAUGGUCAUGAUUGUUUGUUAGGCUAAGAUUUCGAUUUUUAAUUUUUAGUUUUAUUUUUAAUUUUGGAUUUUGCAGUAGAUAAUUAGUUUUCUGAAAACAAGAAUGAGAUUUUGAUUUUUGUUUUUAAAUUUAUUAAGAUAUUUAAUCUAAUUUCUUUGUUUUUUGUUUUUUUUUUCUGUAAUAUUAGUUCUUAGAAUAUGUUUAAAUUAUUAUGGAAUUCAUUUAAAUAAAAAACCUCUAAUAGUUUGAUAUGUGGAAAAUAUUAUUUUCGUGAGUUUGUGUUUAUUUUAUAAAAUGUUGAUGUGGUUUUAUAUAUUAAUAUAAUUAAUAGCUAGUUAAAAGAUAGUUACAAAAAAACUAGUUAAAAAAAAGAGAAAAAAAAUUAGUCAUGGGAUGAUGCAUUAGAAACCCAUAAAAUCUGGAUUUUGGUUUUUAUGAGUAAAAUGGCAAAAAAAGUUAAAAUCUGGUUUUCCUAAAAAAUAGAAAAUCUAUUUUACCAAAAAUUUUGAUUGGAAAAAAAGUAGAUUCUACAGAAACAAAAGCCAAAAUUUAAUCUAGAAUUUGCAAACAAUCAACCUCUAAGACAGAACUGAGAGUUCGUGGAUGUGUUAAAAAAAAUAAAGAGUUGGUCGAUGACAACUGUCAUUCCACUCUCCAGAGUGGAAAAUAAAACUCGUCGAUUACAAGUUGACAACUCGCUCCAAAGAUGAUAAUAAAAAAAAUCGGGACCGCAUGCAGUUAAAUGAAAAAAGGGAAAUUGGAGCGUAUAACCACAAAAAAAACCGUAAUUCAUCGUCUAGCUAUUUACCCUAACGAUUCUAUACACGCUGCUACAUAUAUAUAAUAAUACUGUAAUACCCUUGAAACUCAACCGGCACAACCUGCUACGAAAAUUAAUUAAAUAUCUUAAUUAUUCACAGCACAAAAGUCAUUCGUGUCUUACCCUUGUUCACAUCUUCCCUUUUUCACUUCUCUGGUAAUUUUGUUGCAGUCGAACAGUUUCCGGCACCGUUUUCCUCCAACGACUCAACAGCUUUUCCAUCUCCUGCCUCCUCCCUUUUCAAUCGUGUUCGGCGUCAGGGUUCUCCGUUACGGUUUCAGCAGCGGUUAGUAACACACCCUUCCAACCCAACUUCACCAACUCAAUUUUUUCUCAGAUCUCUCAACCUCCCGUAAGUUCUCCUUCUUUUUUCGUAGAUUCUCUUCACCGUCUCCUCCUCUGUGCUUAUUUUCUUUCAAGUUGGGGCUCUUCUCAGAAUUAGGGUGUUAUACUUGUUAAGUCUGUACCAUCGUCCGCGUAAAUCCCAUCGUUCCCGAUACGUAAUUAGUCUCUUUCACUUUCCAAUUUGUUUUAGGAUCUCAAGUUCCCGAUACAUUACAGAUCAUUAAGGGAAAUACAUAGUAAAUAGUAUAGUAAUAUAAUUUGUUAUAUGGAAUAACAUCUGUAAUACAACUUGCCUGCGUGAAAUCUCUUACGCCAAUUUUAUUUGAGAUGGAACAGAAAAACUAUAUGUUCAGACUAUUCUAUUUGAGAUGGAAUCUAUUGACAACUUAUUCUACUUGAGAUGGAAACUAGCUAUUUGUAACGUAUGCGCUACCAUUUUUCAUCAACAAUACUGUUUGUAAUAUAAAAGGUUAUUUUCUAUAUAAAAUAGAACGAAUUACUCUGUCAUAACCAUGUUUCCCUCUUACUUUGUUCUUUAGGUUUGGCAUGAACGAUUUAGGCCUUUCAAAAAGAUUGUUCGAGACAGGUUUUGAACCCACUGAAAAGACAGAUUAACAACUAUUUCAACCUCCGUUGGAUUGAGGUGAUCAAGAAUGCAUUAGAGGGUUCAAUCUUGUUCGUUAUUAUUUCAUGUUCUCUUGAUAUGAGUUUUGUAUCAGUGUAUAUAUAUAUUUUAUAUUAGUGUGUAUAAGAUUUUGCAUAGAUAAAUAAUAUAUUGAACUUAAAUGGAAUAAAAUUUAUUAUGACAUCAAAUAAAACAAAAUACAAUGUGAUGUUGAAUGAGAAUGAUAUUUAUAUGAUGUUGUCUCUUCCACCUAUUUUCUUUAAUGUCGUCAAUCUUCAUUUCCUUUGCUACAAUCAAUCUGAAUUUGGUGUAAGCAUUACUUCCUUCUCUGCAAUUAUAGACACUUCAACAUUUGAACAAUAUGUAUUGUAUUAUAUCGUUUGUCACAUUUCUAUUCUAUAUUCUCAUGUAGAAUUGGAAAUGCAUCUUACUGGUAUUUCGAAAUUUGGGUUUAGUUUAUGAAAGAUUGGGGUUGACAUUGAAUUAGGGUUUAUAUUUGGGUUAGGGUUUAGUGACUAGAGUUUAGGGUUUAGUAUUUAGUAAGUGAGGGAGUAUGGUUUGGGUCAGCAUUAAUUUUUUCAUGCAAUUAUAGACAUUUCAUAAUAUCUCCAACAUGUGCUAUGUCAUUUAUUUUGUUCCAUUCUAUUUGGGUUUAGGGUUUAUAUUUGGGUGAGGGUUUAGUGAUUAGAGUUUAACGUUUAGUAUUUAGAAGGCAAAAAGGUAUGGUUGGGAUCAUCAUUAACUUCUUUUAUGCAAUCAUAAACAUUUUAUAAUUUCACCAAUACAGAUUAUGUUAUUUAUUUUGUUCCAUUCUAUUUGGAAUUCAUGUUUAUAUUUGGGUUUAUAGUUUAUAUUAGGGUUUAGAGCUUAUGGUUUAGGGUUUAGUGAUUAUAAUUUAGGGUUUAGUAUUUUGAAGGUGAGAGGGUAUAUGGUUGGGGACUUGGGGUCAUCAUUAAGUUCUUUCUUGCAAUUAUAGACAUUUCAUAAUUUCACCAAUAUAUACUAUGUUAUUUAUUUCGUUCUAUUCUAUUUGGGUUAAAGUUUAUAUUUGAAUUUAAAGUUUAUGUUUAGGUAAGGGUUUAGUUUCCAUGUUAUUUGGUUCACCUAUUCUAUUUCGUCAUCAUGAGUAGCAAUGUUAAGGAAUUGGUUUCUCCGUUACGUUCCCAUAAGUUGUAAUACGCGUACACUUAGUAUUACUUUAUUUUCCUUCGUAAUGUCACUAUUAUACGUGAUAAUUACAUCUGGCUUCUCCCUGCGUAUAUGUAUAUGUGUGUUUAUAUUUGACACAAAAGCACCACGUCGCCUAUUUUAACUAUUGUAACUGGUAACUUGUAACUUAAAAGGACAUAACCGGCUAAAAGGUGAGCAAAAAGACAGAUACUGAAUUAUGUCAAAAUCAGUGUUAGUUACCUAAUUUGUCUCUGAAAAAUGGCUAUUACGCUAAUAAGCCCAUGAAAAAAGACCCAUGCUUCAUCCAUGAACCUAAUCGCAACUUUCGAUGACGAAUUACGAGUGAAGGUACGUAUUUGAAUUAUCCAUAUUUUGAUUAAAAGAUAUUCUUUUUUAUAAUUAUGCAAUUUGAGUUUUUGGUGUGAUAGUAAUAUGCAGUUUGAGUUCAAAAUUAAUUGACACUAAAGAGUAAAUUAUCUCAUAGCUUUUUUUGUAUAUUACUUACGUCUUAUUUACAAUCUCCAUGAGGAAUAUUUCCAUCACCCACUCGUGAUAAGAAUCAGCCUUAUAUGUCGCUUCGCUGAUAUUUUGUUAUGAAGUAAUUUUAGGUUAAAUUAGCCAGACUAAUUUGGGUUAGAUCGAUAUCAGUUAAAAUCUUUGGAUAAUUUUGAUAGACUGAAAUCAGUUCGGAUAUACAUCAGAUUCUAUUACUACUACUAGGUAAGGAGCCCGUGCGAUGUCGCACGGGAUCUCUAUUUUAUAAAAACAAAUAAACUACAUUUUAUAAAUGAAUUUUUUUUAUAAAACUGUUAUAUAAUUGCUAACGAACAUCAUAAGAAAAUAAGAUGAUUUCCGACCGAAUUACUUUAAAAAAAAAUCCAUAAGAAUUUCUCACAAAACCCCGUGAAAAAUAAAAAUCGCACAAAUCUUUAGAAAACCAUCAGGAAAUGUGUGUGUAGUUUUUGAUCCAAAUUAGAUGUAUACGUGACUACACAAAUAUAUGUGAUGGUUUAUAAAUAUAUAAUAUUGUAAAAUAACUAAAUUAUCCAAGAAAUAAAUGACAUGAUAUUUGUACUCAAUCUUAAUAUUCUUUAAAAAGUAAAAUAGAUAUAAAAAUGAAUUCAACUAUAACUCACUAAAAACUUAUGCAAAUUUAAGAUAAAAACUAACAAGAUGAAAAGCUACAUACUUAUACAUUUUGACAAUUUAUUUUAUUUCAAUAUAAUUUUUAAGAUGAAAAAAACACAAUCUUAAAGUAAAACUUACAGUUUACUUAUUUUGACAAUUUCGUUUAAAUUAAUGCAAUUUUUAUGAUGAAAACACAUUGUUAGAUAAAAAAAUAUUACUAUAUAUUGACAACUUCUUUUAAACCAAUAUAAAUAAAAAAAUACAAUUUUAAAAUGAAAAGUUGUUAAAAAAAUUGAAAAGUUACAUCAUCAGACAUUAAUUGAGAUUCAUGUUAUUAGAAAGAUACUUAUUGAGAUAUUAUAAGUAGAGAAAUUCUAUAGGAUAGACCUAAAAAAAUUUAUGUCACAAAUAUAGACUUUAAAAAAAAUUGACCAAAAUAAACUUAAAUAUUUUAUCAAAAGAAGUACAUAUACACUUAUACCCCUAGGGUUAAUUAAUAUAGACAUUAGAGUUUAGAGUUAAGAUGUGGGGUUUAAGAUUUACGGUUUAAGGUUUAGGGUUUAAAAUUUAGGAUUUAGGGUUUAGAGUUGAGGAGUGGGGUUUUGAGGAUAGAAUUUUAAAUUUUAAAAAUUUAAAAAAGUUUAAAAUUUUCAAAAACAAAAUGUUAUUUUGGUUAUUUUAAUUUUUGGAGUUUAUUUUUGUGACAAAAAUUUAAAAAUAUCUAUUUGAGAUAAUUGUCCUUCUAAUUAUUUGAAACUAAUUAUUUUUAACGAAAGAACACAAUUUUUAAUAGCAACUCAAUUUUGUUGCUAGACGAGGUAAUCAUUUUUCUCAUAGGAAAAUAAAAUCUAAAUCCAACGGUUGCGUUUUCAAUACUUUGUAAUAUUACAGACAAAAUUUUCUUUCUCCUAUAAAAUCCAACGUUAUCAAUCUCUUUCACUAAAAGACGUGUUCUUCUGGUCUUUGCCCUGAUCAACGUUUCUCUAAGAGCAUCUCCAACCCACCUUUAUUUCUACCUCUAUAAUAGCAUUUAGAGGCAAAAUCACUCUAACCCAUCUCUAUUUUUGCCUCUAAAAUAGAGAUUGCUAUUUUUUCCUCUAUUUAUAGGGGAAGAAAUAGCAUUCCUCUAUAUUUUGCUCUAUAUAUAGAGAUCUCUAUUUUAGAGAAAUACAUUGGAGUAAAACCCAUCUCUAUUAUAGAAUUCCUCUAUUUUAGAGGUAAAAAUAGAGAAAUACAUUGGAGAUGGUCUAAAGGAUGCACUCCUUCUAUAGACGCUCCUUUGUAAAAGGGGCAUCUAUCUCUUUUAAAAUGUUUCGGAUUGCAUGGGAGGAGAUGGAGUGAAUCAUGUCUUUGUUUUUUGGCCAACCAAGAUUACUUACCGAUUUCCAACUUAUUUCUCUCUGAGAUUGGUACUUUCCAAGUUUUUUCACUGCAGUUAAUUAUAAGAGUUCUAAUUAUAAUGUUUUCUACUCAAUUCUCUUUUCACUUUUAUGUAUUUUUGUUAAUUGAUAUUUGAUGUUUUGCCAGAAGAACUGAUCUGAGAGUAGCUUUCUAUUUUCUAAUUCUGUUGACGUCACUUUUCGUACGUGUAUGAGUAAAACUAAUUAUAAAUGAGACAGAAUUAUUCAAAAAACACCGAAUUAGAAUUUAAUAAGGAACAACUCUCAUUAAGGCACUGAAGGAUGUGGGAGACAAAACGUUUGAAAAACAGAGAAGGUUAAAAAUGAUUGGCUAAAGAAUUUGAUUAUGUUUUCCAGAAAGAAAUUGGUUUACGAAUACAAAUACAAGCAUUAACUCUUCAUAAUAUAACGCACUCUAUGUAUUAAUUUUAGUUUAUAACUCAACUGAUUACUUUAUCUUUGAAAUGUCUCAUAAUAUAUAUAGACAGUCAAGAAACACUAUGUGAAGAGUCACAUAUGUUCAAAGAAAAUAUACAUAUGUUCACUAAAGAAAAGAUACAUAUAAUCAACAAAGAGAUACAUCUUUAAAGUGAAGAGUCAUAUAUCUUCGUUUAAAGAAAAAAUCAAUCUCUUUAGUUUUUUAUAUGAAAAGUUGCAUUUAUUUGUUUUUAAUAUGAAAAAUUGCAUAUAUUGCUUGUGAAAAGAUACAACACUUAAAAUUUAUAUAUUUUAAAAAGUAAAAAAGAUGAAAACAUACAACAUUUAAAAUUAUAAUGAAAAUUCAGUUUUUAUGAACAAAGACAGCUUUUUAACAUUAAUCAGAUUAGGGAUUAUCUGCAUAAAUAAAAAAUUGUGAAGACAAUGCCUGGAAAUAUAUUUUGAUGUAACCGCUAUUAUGAAAUUUAGAUCACUUAGGGUAUGACUGGUUUUCCCGCUACCACCCGCAAACGCAGCUUUUGCGGUUGGUAGCGGUUGCUGGCGUUUUGCAACAAUCGCUCAAACCGCUCUAAACCGCUCCAAAUCGCUCCAAAUCGCUCUGAACCUCAUAAAUUCAAAAGCUGGUUCCAGCUAGCGUUUGCGGUUGCGGGCGUUUGCGGG